rnacentral:rRNA from 1 species
AUUGAACGCUGGCGGCAGGCCUAACACAUGCAAGUCGAACGAGUGGCGGACGGGUGAGUAAUGUCUGGGAAAUUGCUUGAUGGAGGGGGAUAACUACUGGAAACGGUAGCUAAUACCGCAUACCAUCAGAUGUGCCCAGAUGGGAUUAGCUAGUUGGUGGGGUAACGGCUCACCAGGGUGACGAUCCGUAGCUGGUCUGAGAGGAUGGCAGGCCCCACUGGAGCUGAGACGCGGUCCAGGCUCCUACGGGAGGCAGCAGUGGGGGAUGUUGCGCAAUGGGCGCAAGCCUGAUGCAGCCAUGCCGCGUGUAUGGAGAAGGCCUUCGGGUUGUGAAGUACUUUCAGCGGGGAGGCGUUACCCGCAGAAGAAGCACCGGCUAACUCCGUGCCAGCAGCCGCGGUAAUUC